rnacentral:lncRNA from 12 species
CCCCCCCCCCCCCCCCCCCCCCCCCCCCCCCCCCCCCCCCCCCCCCCCCCCCCCCCCCCCCCGGCCGGAGGGGUCUGCGGGCAGCAGCGCCCCGCGCCCGGCCACUCUCCCCGCCCGUUCCGGGUGGCAGGUGUCGUGGGAGCUCUUCUGGCCCUCCUCCGUGCGCCGUCGCUUCCCGAGGGACGCCGGGGUUUUACUCGGGACGGGAAGAGAGGGUUUGUGCUUAAAAAAAGAGCUCAACCGCUCCUGUUGGUGUCUGGGGGUUGCGCCGUGAAAACAGCCCCCGAGCCGCCCGCGGCGGGCGCGGUGUCCCCGAACAAUGAGCCUGACAGCUCCGGCCGGCGCCGCCCCCCGGGCAGCCCCUUCCCCACCGCGGGCCGGGCCUCGGGAGGACGGGCACGGGUCGCUGAGAGGAGGGUCAGGUGCGAAAGUUGACACCGUGCUGCCUUUUCAGGGCUUUUGACUGACAUUGCUUGAUUGUGUAUCCGAGGACAGCGCAGCGUUUCGAGUUACUGUAGUUCUGUGACCGGUUUUAAUCCGAUUUUAAUCGAGGGGUUUGAAGAUCCCGUGUUAAAUUCGAAGUUUACGUUUCUUCCUGGAACAGAAUAUUAUAAGAAAACAGUGAAAAGCAAAUCCACGUUAAUAUUACCAGCUGUUGCAUUAUAAGACUAUUUUGCUCCGAUAAUUUGCUCAGUUAUGAAAGGCACAAGUUACAUAGGCCUCAUCUUAAUUUUUUCUUUUCAUUCUAGUAUUAAAUCCGGUCAGAUUCAAUCGGUGGAGGUUCA